UCGGUCAAUGCCUUCCCUAGAUACUUCUCGUCGGGCUCUCUCCUCCAACUUUGUGGGCUUCAGCUUAAUUAUUUUGCUGUAUAAAUACUGAACUCCUCGUCCGUUCACUUAUUAUCGAGCUAGAGCAUCCUGAUAAGAGAGAAAUAUAUUGUAAAUGGAAGGUUUAAUUCUAAGCCCUGCUAAACUAGCUACUCUCUUCCUCUUUUUCUCUAUUCACUUCACCUCUAGCUCAGCAACCAGGUUCUUGAGUAGCAACACAAAUGCCCAGUUCGUAAAAGCAUCCUGUAGCAACACAACCUAUCCUCAAUUGUGCUAUGAAUCCUUCGCACGCUAUGCCAGCAAAAUUCAAAGCAACCCCAAAAUGCUAGCCC
rnacentral:lncRNA from 1 species